rnacentral:rRNA from 1 species
CGUGUAGGUGGGUAAUUAAGUCAUGGGUGAAAACUGCGAGCUCAACUUGCAGACUGCCUAUGAAACUGGAUAUCUUGAGGGCAGGAGAGGAAAGUGGAAUUCCUAGUGUAGCGGUGAAAUGCGUAGAUAUUAGGAGGAACACCAGUGGCGAAGGCGACUUUCUGGACUGUCCCUGACACUGAGGCGCGAAAGCUAGGGGAGCAAACGGGAUUAGAUACCCCGGUAGUCCUAGCCGUAAACGAUGGGUACUAGGUGUGGGAGGUAUCGACCCCUUCCGUGCCGGAGUUAACACAUUAAGUACCCCGCCUGGGGAGUACGGCCGCAAGGUUGAA